rnacentral:rRNA from 1 species
UGGCUCCUACGGGGCGCAGCAGUGGGGAAUAUUGCACAAUGGGGGAAACCCUGAUGCAGCGACGCCGCGUGAGUGAGGAAGUAUUUCGGUAUGUAAAGCUCUAUCAGCAGGGAAGAAAAUGACGGUACCUGACUAAGAAGCCCCGGCUAACUACGUGCCAGCAGCCGCGGUAAUACGUAGGGGGCAAGCGUUAUCCGGAUUUACUGGGUGUAAAGGGAGCGUAGACGGAU